rnacentral:rRNA from 1 species
AUUGAACGCUGGCGGCAUGCCUUACACAUGCAAGUCGAACGGCAGCACGGGAGCUUGCUCCUGGUGGCGAGUGGCGAACGGGUGAGUAAUACAUCGGAACGUACCCUGAAGUGGGGGAUAACGUAGCGAAAGUUACGCUAAUACCGCAUAUUCUGUGAGCAGGAAAGAGGGGGAUCGCAAGACCUCUUGCUUUAGGAGCGGCCGAUGUCGGAUUAGCUAGUUGGUGAGGUAAAGGCUCACCAAGGCGACGAUCCGUAGCGGGUCUGAGAGGAUGAUCCGCCACACUGGGACUGAGACACGGCCCAGACUCCUACGGGAGGCAGCAGUGGGGAAUUUUGGACAAUGGGCGCAAGCCUGAUCCAGCCAUGCCGCGUGAGUGAAGAAGGCCUCGGGUUGUAAGACUCUUCGUGGGAGAAGUUAGCACAGGAGUAAUACCUUAGUGUAGAUGA